rnacentral:rRNA from 1 species
UACGAAGGGGGCUAGCGUUGUUCGGAAUUACUGGGCGUAAGGGGCGCGUAGGCGGUGUGUCAAGUCAGGCGUGAAAGCCCCGGGCUCAACCUGGGAACAGCGCUUGAGACUGGCACGCUCGAGUUCGGGAGAGGAUGGUGGAAUUCCCAGUGUAGAGGUGAAAUUCGUAGAUAUUGGGAAGAACACCGAUGGCGAAGGCAGCCAUCUGGACCGACACUGACGCUGAGGCGCGAAAGCGUGGGGAGCAAACAGG